rnacentral:rRNA from 1 species
UAGGAUUCCCUCAGUAGCUGCGAGCGAACAGGGAUAAGCCCAGCACCGAAUCCCGCGGCCGACACCGGACGCCGGGAAAUGUGGUGUUAGGGAGGAUUCAUAUAUCCCGAGAUUUUGCGGUGCGUCCAAGUCCUUCUUGAACGGGGCCACAGUCCAUAGAGGGUGCCAGACCCGUAGUGACCACUGCUGAUCGCGGGAGAAUCUCUCCUCAGAGUCGGGUUGCUUGAGAGUGCAGCCCUAAGUGGGUGGUAAACUCCAUCUAAGGCUAAAUAUGACCACGAGACCGAUAGCGAACAAGUACCGUGAGGGAAAGUUGAAAAGCACUUUGAAGAGAGAGUUCAAGAGUACGUGAAACCGUUCAGGGGUAAACCUGAGAAACCCGAAAGGUCGAAAGGGGAAAUUCAUUCGCGUCUCGAUAUUGGCAUUGAAUGAUCGUAUGACGAAUAGCGUCCGCGUUGUUCGCAUCUUUUAUUCUUUGAACUAAUGUCGAAUGCGUGCACUUUUCCCCUAGUAGGACGUCGCGAUCCGUUGGGUGUCGGUCUAAGGCCCAUGGUGGAGCCCAUUCGGACAGUUUACACUGUUUCGUAUGGACCCGUGGUGUUUCCCGACCGGCUCGCUCGACGGUAUACAGAUGGCGCAGAGCCGCGACACAGUUCGCGUUCGGCCCUUUGCAAGCACAAUUCGGUGUUUGCCGGUGAUCGGACCUAGUGCCGUUCCUGGCCCCGAUUGUCUGUUGGCAAUUGUGUUCUUGAACAGACUCUGAUGAAACGCCGAUCUGCGGCGCUAUAGCUUUGGGUACUUUCAGGACCCGUCUUGAAACACGGACCAAGGAGUCUAGCAUGUGCGCAAGUCAUUGGGAAAUGACUAAACCUAAAGGCGCAAUGAAAGUGAAGGUUCGUCUUGCACGAACCGAGGGAAGAUGAGCGGUUUGCCCUUAAAGUGGCCGCUCCGCACUCCCGGGGCGUCUCAUUCUCAUCGCGAGAAGAGGCGCACCAAGAGCGUACACGCUGGGACCCGAAAGAUGGUGAACUAUGCCUGGUCAGGACGAAGUCAGGGGAAACCCUGAUGGAGGUCCGUAGCGAUUCUGACGUGCAAAUCGAUCGUCGGAACUGGGUAUAGGGGCGAAAGACUAAUCGAACCAUCUAGUAGCUGGUUCCCUCCGAAGUUUCCCUCAGGAUAGCUGGCGCUCAUUGUACACGAGUCUCAUCCGGUAAAGCGAAUGAUUAGAGGCAUUGGGGUCGAAACGACCUCAACCUAUUCUCAAACUUUAAAUGGGUGAGAUCUCCGGCUUGCUCGAACUUAUGAAGCCGUGAGACACGGAUCAGAGUGCCAAGUGGGCCAUUUUUG